AACGUGCAGUUAUUCGAGUCGAGAGGCGCGCUUUUGGUGAAUGAGACGCUCUUGCUCAGUGGUCCAUCUCCAAGAACAAUUAAAGAAGGCGGCUCGUGAUAGGUUCGGGAAAUUCUAUUCAACUUGUUCAGGGUCUCGUGACAAACGUGUUCCAGCAAUUCUAUUCUUCCGUGCCAAUUUUUUUUCAAGACUCCAAAAACUUAUUUUCCAUCCAUUAUUAAUCAUCAAACACAAGAAUAACUAAAAUCUCUGCCAUAUCACUCAUUUGAUUUGAGAAAAUGAAACUGUGUCAAAGAGAAAUCGAAAAACUUCAACUCCACAACGCUGGUUUUCUUGCUCAGAAACGUCUCGCUCGUGGUUUGAAACUCAACCAUCCUGAAGCUGUUGCUCUUAUAGCAUCGCAGAUUGUUGAAUUUGUUCGGAAUGGUGAUAAGUCUGUUGCAGAGUUAAUGGCAAUCGGAACACAGCUAUUAGGAAGGAGACAAGUUCUUUCAUCUGUUCCACAUAUCUUAGAAACUGUUCAGGUUGAAGCUACCUUUCCCGAUGGGACUAAGUUAAUCACGGUUCAUGCCCCAAUUGCUUGUGAAAAUGGAAAUCUUGAACUAGCAUUAUUUGGUUCUUUUCUUCCAGUACCUUCACUUGACAUGUUUAUCGAGAACAAUGAAGAUUACAACAUUCCUGGUGAAAUAAAAUCUGGAGAUGGAAGCCUGAUUCUUAACGCCGGAAGGGAGGCUGUCUCUCUUAAAGUUGUAAACAAUGGAGACAGACCAAUUCAGGUUGGAAGCCACUAUCAUUUUAUUGAAGUAAAUCCCUUCUUAAUCUUUGAUCGAAGAAAAUCAUUUGGCAAACGGCUUAAUAUAGCAUCUGGGACUACCACACGCUUUGAGCCAGGGGAAUGUAAAAGUGUUAUACUUGUAAGCAUUGGAGGUGACAGAGUCAUCCGAGGUGGUAACAACAUUGUUGAUGGUCCUGUUAAUGAUUUGAAGUGCAAAGAAGCCAUGAAGGAUGUUAUAACAAGGGGAUUCGGGCAUAAGGAAGAUGAAAAUGCAAGGGAAGGUAUUACCGGUGAAGACUAUUCAUUGACUAAGGUAAUUCCUCGAGAGGAAUAUGCUAACAAGUAUGGCCCCACUACUGGUGACAAAAUUCGUCUUGGUGACACUAACUUGUUUGCGGAAAUUGAAAAAGAUUUUGCUGUCUAUGGUGAUGAAUGUGUUUUUGGAGGAGGGAAAGUUAUAAGAGAUGGAAUGGGUCAGUCGUGUGGCCAUCCACCUGAUCAUCCUUCCUUGGAUACUGUUAUAACAAAUGCUGUGAUCAUCGAUUAUACUGGAAUUUACAAAGCAGAUAUUGGUAUUAAGGAUGGCCUUAUUGCCUCAAUUGGAAAAUCAGGAAACCCAGACGUUAUGAAUGGUGUAUUUGAUAAUAUGAUCAUUGGGGCUAAUACUGAAGUUAUUGCUGGAGAGGGCUUUAUUGUAACAGCUGGUGCUAUAGAUUGUCAUGUGCAUUUUAUAUGCCCUCAAUUAGUUUAUGAAGCCAUAUCAAGUGGGAUCACAACAUUGGUGGGCGGAGGAACUGGACCAGCUUUUGGAACACGUGCUACAACUUGCACACCGGCACCGAUUCAGAUGAAAAUGAUGCUGCAAUCAACAGAUGACCUGCCUCUGAACUUCGGUUUUACUGGAAAAGGGAAUUGUGCCAAGCCUUAUGAAUUACAUGAAAUAGUGAAAGCUGGAGCUAUGGGACUGAAGCUGCAUGAGGAUUGGGGAACUACACCAGCUGCUAUAGAGUGUUGCUUGGAUGUUGCAGAAAAACAUGAUAUCCAGGUUAACAUACAUACUGACACCUUAAAUGAAUCUGGGUUUGUGGAACACACAAUUGCCGCAUUUAAAGGAAAAAAUAUUCAUGCUUACCACAGUGAAGGUGCAGGUGGUGGCCAUGCUCCAGAUAUCAUCAAAGUAUGUGGUGUGAAGAAUGUCCUACCCUCAUCAACAAAUCCUACACGUCCUUUUACAUCUAAUACCAUAGACGAGCAUCUUGACAUGUUGAUGGUCUGCCAUCAUCUUGAUAAGGAUAGUCCAGAAGAUGUUGCUUUUGCAGAAUCAAGGAUAAGAGCCGAAACAAUCGCUGCUGAAGAUAUUUUGCAUGAUAUGGGUGCAAUUAGCAUUAUUUCUUCUGAUUCCCAGGCUAUGGGUAGAAUUGGAGAGGUGAUAAGCAGAACUUGGCAAACUGCCGAUAAGAUGAAGUCACAAAGAGGACCACUGCAGCCCGAUGAUUGCAACAAUGACAACUUUCGAAUCAAACGUUAUGUUGCAAAGUACACUAUAAAUCCAGCUAUAGCAAAUGGUUUGUCACGGUAUAUUGGUUCAGUUGAGGUAGGAAAGUUAGCUGAUCUUGUAUUAUGGCAACCAUCCUUUUUUGGAGCAAAACCCGAAAUGGUGAUCAAAGGCGGUGACAUUGCAUGGGCUGACAUGGGUGACGCAAACGCUAGCAUCCCAACACCUGAACCGAUGAUUAUGAGACCUAUGUUUGGAGCAUAUGGCAAGGCUGGCAAUGCAAACUCUAUUGCUUUUGUGAGCAAGGCAGCUUUGGACUACGGUGUAAAAGCUUUAUAUGGACUUGACAAGAGGGUGGAAGCCGUGGAGAAUGUGAGAAAGAUUAGCAAACUAGACAUGAAACUGAACGACGCCCUUCCAGAAAUCACUGUGGACCCAGAGACAUACACAGUCACUGCAGAUGGAGAGGUUCUAACCUGCACUCCGGCCACUACUGUUCCUCUUUCUAGAAAUUACUACCUCUUCUAAGCUCAAAAUCUCUCUUCCACACUGUGAACUGUCAUGGGAUUCGCAUAAGCAUGUCUGCGCCCAUUGUCUUCCAUAUUAUUUUCUCGACAAAAAAGCAAUUCCUAUACAUGCAGAUUAUUCCAAGAUAAUGUUUCAUCUCUAUUGUAUCAAUGAUCAUUGGAGAGCAAGUUAAUCAGAGGUAUAAUAAGUAGAACAUAAAGGGAAAAAAAAGACAUGCACGAUUGACCGAAAGAGCCGAGAUUGAAGUGCAUAGGAGAUCAAGAAUGCUAAAUUUGUUGGGAGAAAUUGGCACGAUUAGCCAAAUCCAAACAAAAGGUACCCCUUGCAAAAUAGCACAAAUUCGUUAGGAGAACCAAAGCUCUCCAAGAGAAUGGAAGGAGGUUCAAAGUUUUUUUUUGUGUGAAGCAAGCUCGAUUCCUUGAGCAUAUGAUGGUUUGCUCAACAAAUUGAGAUCAGAUCUGAAUUCUAUUCAAAGAAACUUAGGAAGGAGGGCCAAAGGUCAAAAAGAAAAGAAUAACUACUCUAGAACAACAAUCGAGUUGACAAUUUCACAAGCAUCUGCAUCAAGCAAAGCAGUGAAAAACGAAGACGGUUCAAUGUAACUCUGAAAAGAGUGAUCCACACAACCAUGUUUAGCCAAGCAAUCAGCGCAAGCAUUCCGAGACACAUGAGAAAUUAUUACCACCUCAAAAUCCCCCAUGAACUCCAUAAUUCGUCGAAGUAAAGCGACACAGUCAACCAUCCCUACCUUUUCGUCUUCGAUAGCUUUAACAACUAUCAUGCUAUCAACGUUGAUUUCCAUCUGAUUAAUUAUUCAAUUACAUUGAUCUUUAUUCUCUUGUUUUAGUUAUUGAUCAUUAUUGAUCAUGGUCGUGAACCUAAUAUGCUGAUGAAAAGUACUAUUAGGUUUAAAGAUAUUCAUUUAUGUCUAAUAUAACUUGAUCUUGUUUCGUAAA